UACGGAGGGUGCAAGCGUUAUCCGGAUUCACUGGGUUUAAAGGGAGCGUAGGUGGGCUGGUAAGUCAGUGGUGAAAUCUCCGGGCUUAACCCGGAAACUGCCAUUGAUACUAUUUGUCUUGAAUACUGUGGAGGUUAGCGGAAUAUGUCAUGUAGCGGUGAAAUGCUUAGAUAUGACAUAGAACACCAAUUGCGAAGGCAGCUGGCUACACAAAUAUUGACACUGAGGCACGAAAGCGUGGGGAUCAAACAGG
rnacentral:rRNA from 1 species